CCGGGGGCGGGGCGGCGCUCACCUUGAUGCUGACGCCGUGGGCGGCCAGGUCCCGGCGCAGCGCGUCGCAGGCCUCCAGCAGGGGCUGCCUCUCCAGGAGCUGCCGCUGCGCCUCCCCAGGGGCCUCCCUCGCGGCCAGAGCGAACUGCCGGACCUUCUGCCGGAAGCGGACCAGCUCCUCAACCACGCUGUGCAGGGCGGCCGGGCCGCCGGCCCCUGAAACACACUGCCCGGGCGCCGGGUGAGUGGACGGGCCCCGGGCCGGGGAGGGGCAGGGGGCGCGGCUCAUCUCCCUCCCCUCGCCUCGCCCAAAGGGCCCAGUCUCCCGAUCGCCCAGGCUGGUGAGCGGGAGCUGCCACUGCAGACGGGCAGCAUCGGAGGGUCAUUGGGCAGAGCCGGCAGGCCUGGGCCUCGUCGACCAAGGAAACCAAACUUGCUCGCUCCAGCCGCCGUUCAAGGCCCUGGACGUCCUGCGCACAGGUGGGCGCGCACACAGGCGCAGCCCCGCAGCGCUCUCCCCCGGGGCCGGGGACCAGCAGUGUGGGUGCCGGCCGGGGGAGCUCCAGGGCUGGCGUGGGCCCGGAGCCCUUCCAAGUUGCCAGGCGUCCAACCCCACCCCCACCCCCUGCCCCACGGAGGAAGGGCCGGCAGUCCAACUCCUUCAACCUCAACGUGAUCCCCAGCCACUGCUCCCACGGUAGAAGACGGCUCGUUACAGAGACGUGAGCCCCCAGCGGGCUCCGGGGGCGCCCCAGCUCGGGGAGGAGGUGGGCUUCUGGUGACCCAGCAUAGACCUGGCCCCCUCAGCCUAGUGUGAGCUGCCAACAGGCCCUGGACCACCCAGGGAAGGCCGCAGUCCACUAGGGAAUCAGUGUCUCUCAAUCAAACAAACCAUUGCAAAGAUACGGGAGUCUUUCUGUUGAGGCCAGAGAAGCUCACAGCCCGACAAACAGUCCUAGGAGACAUCCCCGCUCACGGCCAGGGCAGCCGGCGCCAGGUCUCAGCUGGCAGGUCCCCGGCCCGGCAGUGUGGGCUGUGCCCAGGCCUCACAGCAGCAGGUGGCCCGGCGGGGCCCGCAGGGAGAUCCGGGGUGGCGUCCCCCCGUGUGCAGUCCAGGCUCCCCUGUUAACAGCCUGUUCACAUUUUUUAGAAAGUGGCAGCUAUGGCCCUUUCCUUUUCGGUCCUGAGCAACAGUCCUAAGGCUGUUUGUUAGGUGAGGCAGAGGGAGGUGGGCCCCCUGGAGGAGGAGGGACCCUGGCCUGGGGUGUCAGGCAAGGACGCUUCUGUGCAGAGGACAGCCUGCUGGGGGUGAGGGGAGAGGCGGCGGCCGUGGGGAGACAGGUAUACAUGGGGAGGGCAGCGGGGGAGUGAUGUUGGGAGGUGGGAGCCCAGAGGAGGGAGGUGGCCCGGGACUAUUGGGAACCGGAGUCGAGGUGUCGGGGGUAACAGUCGAUACGGAGAGGGGACCCAGGAUCCUGGGGGCUGGCUCUGCCCGCCUACGGCCAGAGCAGCUGUGGCCAAGCGCAGCGAGCACCCAGUGCCCAGACCCUCCCCGCCGAGAGCAGCCAGGCUCCUGGGAGAAAGGCCGACUCCUGCCUGCGACACAAGGUACCAGAUGGGCUGGGAACGUCAGUGCAGGAAGCAAGAACGUGCCAAAGGGAUGGGGCUGUGUGUGGCACUGCGGCCAGCUCCACGCUCUGCCCCCCAGCUGCGAGCGGGAGGAGGACCCGAGUCCACACUGGCGCCAGGAAGGGUCUCUGCGGCGUGGUCACGGUGCACAUCCUGGGCGCGGGACAGACGGGGAUCAUGGCCCAGAGGAUGGCGUCAUAUGUGCUGAGUCCCUGAGGGGCCGGGGUGUCAGGGCAGGAAAAGGCCACGGAAGGCCAAGGGACGUUCCACACACACGGGACCAGAGACCCGGUGGCCGAACAGCCCACGGGCCUGGACUGGGCCUCUGCUGAGGAGUGUGUGACAGGGACGUGGGCAGCCAGGGGGGCCAGGCCCGGGGAUCCCUGACAGCUGGGGCCCGGCCGGCAGCUCAAACGGCGCCGGAGAAGCGUGUCCCCUGCAGCCUGACUGCCGUGUACACUUUGAGGUUCUUUCCCGGACACAAGUGCACACGGAAUCCGUGGCUCACCACUCACGGUGCAGCUGAGGUGCACGCUCGUCGUGCUGAGAACCCUCUUUCGGUUAGUAAAUCCCAGCUCUGCGUGUGUUCCCCUUUUAAGGAACAUAACAUAUCUUAAGCACGUGGUAAGUCUGGCCUUUAAUUACCGUUAAAAUCUGCGUUUCUGAAGGGAAGAAGCGGCUGUUACAGUGUUAGCGUGUAGAUUAAGUCCCACGAUCAAGGACUGAAGAGAGAAGGGCAUACCUGUCGCUCAGCCAGAGAAAUCCCCACCGUCUCAAAGAACUGCUCCACGUAGGACACGACGGCACCGAACACAGCAGGGCUCCUGGGACCACCGGCCGCCUGCAACAAGUCACCCAGAGAAGGCUCUUGAAAGGCAAGAGCACCGACCCCGGGCAGGUCAGCCCCCGGUGGGCGCGGACGCAGCCCUGCGAAGCCGGUGCUCCCGCCCGCCGCCGGGGCCUGUGCUCUGAGCGCCUGUGCUGGCAAGGAGCCCCUGGGCGGCGGCGGCAGCAGGUGGCCUUCGGGGCGUCCCAGGGUCCUGGGCAUCCGAGAGGAGCCUGGCGCCAGGGCCCAGGGACGGGCAGGGCUGGGGGGCAGUCGGGGUCCCCACCCGGCUUCCUUCCCCGUCUCACAUCUGUGUGACAAACUCAGACUCCCCUGAGCUCCUGUGUCCACGUGCCGGGCCUCCCCACGGCCCCCAGCUCUACUGACCCUGGCUCAGGACGGGGCCACACGCAGGGGUGGCUCAGAGGCCACAGGCUCUGGGAGCUGGGUGGCCCCAGGGGCUGGCGAGGUGGCAUCUGCUGUGUCCUCAGAACUGUCGCCACGUCCCAGGAGUUACCUCGGCAGCCGCCUUCAGCUGUCUGUUCCCGUGGUGAGCCAGGUCCAUGACGGCGUCCACCGCCCCCGGCGUGUUGAAGUCGUCCGCCAGCGCCGCCUGCACGGCCCCCUUGGUGUGGCCCAGCCUUUGGGGAGACUUUCCCCACCUCCUCCGGGUGCCCUGCUCCCCAGGCACAGGAAAGGGUUGGGCAGAGCCGCCGAGCCUGGGCCCGAGUGACCACAGGGAGAGACAGACCUUUGCUGCCUGGGCUUCUGCAACCCGGCGCUGUCAGCCGGCAUAACCUGACCUCUCCUGACUGAGGCGCAGACUCUCCCCUGCACGCCUGCCGAUGCCCUCUUCCCGGCCGGCCCCGAAGGAGCCCCGGACCCUCUACUCCUCCAGGGGCUCCCUGGGUGGCAGGGCACACAGACCCCGCCCACCAUCAGCCUCCGGGGACCCCCGAUGACCCUGCCCCCCUCAUCUCCCUCUGGUAUCCCCCGAGGCUCUGUCUUCCCACUUUCUCACCGUCUCUGAAGCCAAUCUCAAACCUUCCUCGCCUUUUUUUGGACGAGUGAAACACAGAUGACCACGUCGAGCCAUUUACCAAGCAACAGAACUGGAAACACCGUCUCCAUGUCCGGGGUGGGCUCCGUCCGGGGUGGGCUCCGUCCUCCCGCCCGCGCCACCACUCAGUUCACUUCCCGGGGCCCCUUGCUGUGCUCCCACCUCUGCAGGCACGACCGGCCUGUGGUCACGACCCCCAGGGGGCGGGGGGCACACGCUGGGCUUCCGGACGCGCCCGUCAACCCCUGUCCCGCGACCCAGGUCCCCCCUCCUU